AUAGUACCCUCCAACCGCCGUUUUGCCUCCAUCCGGCGCUAAAUCCGGAUCCGCCGGAUUCCUUGGGACGAGAGUGUAGGGGAUUGCCGUCGGGAGCAGUUACAUCAACGGCCUUGGUCUUGUGGUUGUCGCUGGUGGCGAUAGAGAACUGGAUGCGAUCGCCUUCGUGGAGAGUGCGGUAACCGUCGGAUCUGAUGGAAGACUGGUGGACGAAGAGAUCUUCGCCGCUAUCUCCAACUGCAACGGCCGCUCCGAUAACACAUCUGGUUCACGAAAGGAAAGCAGUUCUUGUCGACGGUGGCGAAUCCGAUAAGGCAGAUGUUGGUGAUAGAAGAGGAGUGGGUCGCGGUGGGGAGGCGAAGAGGACCGGACGGAACGAGACAUGCAAUAGAAUCGUGACCUUAGCUCUAUGAUACUAAGAAGAACUUAACAAGAAGCUUAUUCACCACUUCAGCAACGACAACUUGUCAUUCAAGCUCUUCACACAACCUUACCAAACUUCAUAUUUUCAUUCGUUAGUCCUUCCUUACUAAUAAUACUUAUCUAUUAUUGCUACUAUAAAGGCAGGUAAUAUAUGUGUUAUAAUUAUUUUCCUCUCAAAAUGGUUUUAUGUAUAUUCAUGAAUUCUAUAUAAUUAUUGUUUGUUGUUAUUAUUAUGACUAAUGGCAGCCGAAAAUGUUACCACCAUCCAAAUUCACAAGAAAAGUAUUUGCAGCUUUUAUAA